UACGGGAGGGGCAAGCGUUGUUCGGAAUUACUGGGCGUAAAGGGCUCGUAGGCGGCCAACUAAGUCGGAUGUGAAAUCCCCAGGCUUAACCUGGGAACUGCAUCCGAUACUGGAUGGCUUGAAUUCGGGAGAGGGAUGCAGAAUUCCAGGUGUAGCGGUGAAAUGCGUAGAUAUCUGGAGGAAUACCGGUGGCGAAGGCGGCAUCCUGGACCGAGAUUGACGCUGAUGAGCGAAAGCUAGGGGAGCAAACGGG
rnacentral:rRNA from 1 species